rnacentral:rRNA from 1 species
CGCCUUUGGAGCUUGCUCCUCGGGGCUACCCGACUCCGGUCGGGUUUAGAGUCGUUAGGCCUCUCAGAGAAGCCUAGUCCUAAACUCCACCCUUGAAUAAAUUACCUUUGUUGCUUUGGCGGGCCGCCCUGUGCCAGCGGCUUCGGCUGUUGAGUGCCCGCCAGAGAACCACAACUCUUGUUUUUAGUGAUGUCUGAGUACUAUAUAAUAGUUAAAACUUUCAACAACGGAUCUCUUGGUUCUGGCAUCGAUGAAGAACGCAGCGAAAUGCGAUAAGUAAUGUGAAUUGCAGAAUUCAGUGAAUCAUCGAAUCUUUGAACGCACAUUGCGCCCCCUGGUAUUCCGGGGGGCAUGCCUGUUCGAGCGUCAUUAUAACCACUCAAGCUCUCGCUUGGUAUUGGGGUUCGCGGCUCCGCGGCCCCUAAAAUCAGUGGCGGCGCCUGUCGGCUCUACGCGUAGUAAUACUCCUCGCGAUUGAGACCGGUGGGUGUACUUGCCAGCAACCCUUAAUCUUUUACAGGUUGACCUCGGAUCAGGUAGGGAUACCCGCUGAACUUAAGCAUAUC